UCUUCACAGCACAUGUGCUUUAGAUUCCUAUUAUCUCUUGUCCAUACAGAUGAAGAGUUCCGAAAGAUCUUGCAUUUCCUGGGGGUGUGGGCUGCAGACAGGAACGGGAAGGAACACCGUGUAAAUCGUGGGCGGUCUUGGAUAAAUAUUAACACUAGAGUUUUGAGUUAUGAGAAUGGCAGUCAUGCUUAUUCCUAGACUUUUCUCCUGCAAGGCCUAAGGGUUCCAUUUGCUACUUUUUCUAGUUCACCUUUUAAAAGCUCUGCUUCCCCUUAGUCCGUAGGCGCCAAACUCACCUCAGGAAAGAAUCCUCCCCUGAUUCUCUAAUGCUUCCUUCCCUGCCUGGUCACUUAGUAGUUUCAUAAACUGCACUGUCCUCAUACAUACUAGAUAUGAAAAGGACACAGACCCAGGAGUUUGUUCAUUGAGUGUAGUUGGGCACUGAAACUCCAGAACCACAAUGUAACCUGACACAUAUGCAAAACGCGGUCUGAAACUAAGCAUUUAAGUAAACUAAACGUUACUAUUUGUGCACUCAGGAGCUUUAAAAAACUAAGACAAUAUCGGUGCAUUCCUAGCCAUUAUGGCCACCACUGUUGCUAUCAUCAGCGAGGCCAGGCGCUGAAGCAAGGCAGAGGGGGAGGGGACCACUGGGAAACAAAAGAGUCUCAAAGUGGGAGGUACAGUGUCCUAGCCUUGGAAUGGCCUACAGUGGCAAAACGGUCUCAGGAGCUUAUCAGCCCCCUCAAAGCGCUGCUUCUUCUAGAAUCACCGUCACACCUACAGAGUGUUCUUGGUUCCUCCCAAAGCUGUUACAUAGAAUCUUGUUUUUGACCACAGAAGGAGGCUCUGGACAAAAAGUCUUUUGGCUACUUACUUGGCCCAGUAGUUCAUUUAAAAAAAAAACCAAAAGUCCGCAAAUAACACUCCCCGAAGUUAAGCAGGACCUCAGAUAAUAUCGGGCCAGCCCUUAAUUUGCGGCUGUGUGCUCUAACUUUGGCCUUAGGCAGCCAACUUCCGCAGGGUGCAAAUUCCAGAGCGGCGGGAGGUCGAGCAGUGCGACCCCGGGCAAGCGUUCCGGGAAGUGACCUCAAACACCGAACGACCCCGCCCCACCUUCCCCGGCCUUCCGGAUCGACCAGGGCAUAAACCAAGCACUGUAUACAAAGCCAGGUUAAAUGGACAACAAACCGUCCUCGGCAAAGGACCUCCGUCCCCAUGCCAGCCCAGCCAUGCUGGGUCAGGGAAGGAUCUGCUGAUCGGCGCAGGGCGGGCCAGAGGUCGCAGGUCCCCAGCAACGCCCCGUGAUGCUCCGCAGGACCCCGGCGGCGGGCACGUGCGGGAACCGAUUUGAUACUGUUAAAAAAUCAAAGUUUAACAGUUUGGUUGCCAUACCAGAACAUCAUUGGAAAUCACAGCUUGGCCAGUUUUCUCAUGGAAGUUAAAUCUCUGAUCCUGGAAGGAAGAACCUCAAACUUAAAAAUAGGGUCAUAUAGUUGGGCUGAAAUGAAUGGACAUCCUUCAGUUACUCUGAAUCUCCUCUGCCAGUGGAGGGAGUCUGUCUUUCUUUAAAGAGCCUGGAGCAGGCACCCUGCAUUUUUCCUUCAAAGCAUACUUUCCUUCAAAGCAACCUCCAAGCCUUCUUCUUCUUAUUACAUACACAACAAGGCUCAAGUUUCAAUGAGUGUUACUCUUGUUUAAGGAGUCUCUUGCCUUCCCUGCAGGAGAGUUCGGGCCAAGAAAACCUAACCAAACAGCAGGCUCCAGAUCCUUAAACUCAAUGGUUUUGUUUAAGAAUGUACUUAGGUGUGUCCUGUACUUAAUUUCAACAGGUAACGUUAUGACUCCUGAAUAGAAGAAUUCAUUUUAAUGAAGCAUAUCCAUGGUGACUGUUGUCCAGCUCUGGGCUUGUCAACACUGUCGCUUUGCAUUGCCAAUGGCAAGUUAAACACUUGUAGCUUUCUGGCUGCAUCCCUGGUGAUCUGGUACUUCAGUGUCAUGAAAGUCUUGGGGAGAAGAAACAGGACAUUUGGCACAGGCCGUCUCUUUACCUCUGAGAUUUGUUCUCAGUGUUUGCUGAGUCAUCUUUAGCAAAUGCCUGGGAUCAGGCUGCUGUUCUGAGGGGAAGUGUGGGUUUGCUCUAGUCCUUGACCACUGAAGGUAAGCACAGAGGGAUAAACAAUUAGAAUUGUGUAAGCAGAGUUUUUAAAAUGCUAUUCGUCACCUACACUUUCCCAAGAGUCCACACCAACAGGUGGAGUUAUUUCACAAUUAACAAUCAAAAAUUCUUUGUAAGAUUUUGACCGAUGGACUGAUACCUCAGAAUUUAAUUUUUUCUUCUUGGGUUUUACUUUUGUGCAUCUAAGUGUGUAGUUGGUUCUCAUCAGUAAGCAUCCAGUCUUCAUUUUCAUCUCAUCUUAGUUGAGAAACAAACAAACAAACAAACAAACCAACCCUGGGUUCUUAAAACCAAACCAAAGGUUCAGGCCUUCCUCACACACUCAUAAAUUCUGCCCUGCUGUAUGACAGGCCCAUCUCUGCGAUCAAUAUCCUUGCAGAAAGGUAACUGGGUAGGGUAGGUGUUCAGUUCAUAGACAAACAUCUCCAGUGAAGGACAGACAGUGGAAGAUACAUGCUUCUAUUUUAAGGCCUGAGAGGGAAUGUCAGUGCUAUUGGCUUCUUAUAUACAGAUAGAUUUGCUUAAUAUUCACCAGAGUUUCUGGAUUAUUUGAUAUAAAACUAAAUUAUUCAGAUAAUUUACUUACAAAUUCAUUUAUGUAUCUGUCCAGUGACCAGAGAUCUCUGGUUAUGAGGUCUUACUGGCAUGAGGUCUCACCAAACUUGUAGCUAAAUGCUCCUCUACUCUCUUUACAGCUCUUUACCUUUUCAUUCUUCUGCUAUUUCUCCUAUUUAAAGUCUUUCUGUCUAUCUGUCUUCAUUUCUUCCUGCUUUCUAUAUGCAAGUAUCCAUCUAUUAAGUUCAGAUCACCCAACUCAGGAAGGUUCAGGUUUUGAGUAGUCUUUGUGGCAAAGAUGGGGUAUGUGUCUGCACUUUACUUUUGCCACUAACACAACCUCCUAGGCUGGGCACGUCAGUGGUUGGUUGGAGGUACCACAGUAUGGGGCAAUUGGAGGUAUGGGGAUAACACAAGGAAUGCUAGGUUUCCUAAUCAGAUUAACUCUAUAAUGUUGGAUUCGACUUCUCACAUCUGCUCUUUCAAAGUCUGCUUUUAUCCUCUUUCAGUAUAAGUAAAAACCACACUUCCCUCUGAAACAACCUUAGUGACUGUCUCUGUCCAUUUACCAUUCCCACAUAGUGUUGGAAAAGUCUAGUUACAUGAAAUCGUGUCAACCAGAAGAAAAUAGCUUAGAACUUCCCUAGUGAGGCCAGUCUGUGAAAAUGCAAAGGCGUGUGCUUACUGUUAAGCUAGGACACUUGAGCACCAGAGGACCCAGGCUCUGUGUUUCUCAUAGAUGCCUACCACGUGAUCUCUUUUAGUUGUUCAACAUGCUCGGUCAUGCUCUCUUAAUAUUUACUGAUACUAAUGAGGGAAACCCAAGAAGCUAGGCUGAGUAUUUAAGUGAUCAGGUGGUAUGCUUUGCAUGAACAAGUAAUACUCACGUUUCUAGCUUUCUCUCCAACCUAGAGUUUUUGUAAUUCAGCCUUUGGUGCUGAACCAGAGCCAGGAGGGUGAGUGGAAAGGGUCAUUGAUGAGACAUUUAGGUGCACGUCAGACGGCUUCAUAGGAGGAAUUUGGGGAAGAUAAAAACCUUUCGGCUGUUUUGGACCACCUUCCUUCUGCAGAGCAAGUAGAAACUCCCUGGAAUAAGAGUUACAUCUGGAGUUCUACCCAAGGGCUCCUGCUGCCUCCAGACACGAGGACACACUGAGAUGUGACCUCCUUAGUUAUGGGUCUAAUGGCAAUGAGAAGUAUUUGGGGUGGGUUAAACAUUAUACGUAUUAUUUUAUGUGUGUGAGUAUUUUGCUUGCAUGUAUGUUUAUGCAUUGUUAGUGUGCCUGGUACUCAGAGUCUUUUUUUUUCUUUUUUUCUUUUUCCGAGCUGGGGACCGAACCCAGGGCCUUGCGAUUGCUAGGCAAGCGCUCUACCACUGAGCUAAAUCCCCAACCCUGGUACUCAGAGUCUUGAAGAGGGUACCCGAUCCUUUAGAAUUGACUGAGGUUACUGACAGUUUUGAGUUGCCAUGUUGGUGUUGGGGAAUUGAACCUGGGUCUUCUGGAAGAACAGCCAGUGCUUGUAACCACUGAGUAGCACCUCCCCUUAACAUUUUAUUUAUUUACUUAUUUUAUGAAUAUUUGUGAAUGCCUUCAUGUUUGUCUAUGCACAGGUGCCUGGUGCCUUCCAGGUACAGACAGUUCUGAGCUGUCAUGUGGGUCCUGGGACUCGAUCAAACCUUGGAACUCUGGGAGAGCGCGCCUAUGCCAGUCCAAUCAUGAAGUCUUCUGUUGAAGUGAAACCACUAACAGGAUAGUAUCCCCAGGAUUACGUGAUGACUACAUGACGGCUUUUUAACUUCUCAUAACACUCAACUUUGGGAAUCGAACUUUGUAGGUAGAAACUGGCAGAAUAGAAGAACCAAGAGGAAACAACACUGACUAUGGACAAGGUGUGUUGCUGCCAUGUAAAGCAACCACAUGUACAUCACAUUGUUGCUGAGAAAGGGGGUUCUUUGUUCUGAAAGUGUCUUCAACAGUGAAAGUCAAGGAGAUGUGUUUUCCUGGGACACAGUGAACUCAGUCUGUUCCUCUAUAUUGAAAGGUCUCAGGACAGAGCCUGCAGAGCUCAGGUCCAUCUUCUGUCACAGGUUGCCUUGUUGGUCUUCACAUUUUUCCUCUCAGUUGAUCACCUCAGCUUGUUCUGAUGGGCUGGGACAGGCUCAGAUUGUUUUGUGGAUACACUUGUCUGUGUUAGGUCAAGGAUUAUGUUAUUUAAUUCCUUUGAAAUUUCUACUUGUUUACACAAAAAUACAUGCUAAGUGGGUCGUUUUAAUGGAUGUUGUUUUCUUGCAGCACUGAGAACCGUAUCAAGGCCUUGCACAUGUUUACUUUCUAACUGGUCUGAUGGUUCUACCACACGGUGCACAGAACCGCGAACUGGGAGGCAAGUGACCCAGACUUGAAUCCUGUUUUGUACUUGUUAAGACCGUGAACUUGAAUAAAACUCUGAUCUUUUACCUUCCUCAUAUCCACCCAGAA
rnacentral:sRNA from 1 species